GGCUCGUUGGUCAAGAGGUUAAGACGCCGCCCUCUCAAGGCGGAAUCACGAGUUCGAUUCUCGUACGAGCUGCUA
rnacentral:tRNA from 1 species